rnacentral:rRNA from 1 species
ACUCAAAGGAAUUGACGGGGGCCCGCACAAGCGGUGGAGCAUGUGGUUCAAUUCGACGCAACGCGAAGAACCUUACCUAGGUUUGAACUGCAGGUGACAGGUCUGGAAACAGGCCCUUUCCUCUGGAACUCCUGCAGAGGUGCUGCAUGGCUGUCGUCAGCUCGUGUCGUGAGAUGUUGGGUUAAGUCCCGCAACGAGCGCAACCCUUGCCCUUAGUUGCCAUCGGGUAAAGCCGGGCACUCUAAGGGGACUGCCUCGGAAAACGGGGAGGAAGGUGGGGAUGAUGUCAAGUCAUCAUGGCCUUUAUGCCUAGGGCUACACACGUGCUACAAUGGGCGGUACAAAGGGCUGCGAACCCGCGAGGGGGAGCCAAUCCCAUAAAACCGUCCUCAGUUCGGAUUGCAGUCUGCAACUCGACUGCAUGAAGGUGGAAUCGCUAGUAAUCGCGGAUCAGCACGCCGCGGUGAAUACGUUCCCGGGCCUUGCACACACCGCCCGU